rnacentral:lncRNA from 1 species
UAAUUAAUAAUUUAAUAAUAAAAAUAAUAUAUUAUAAUAUAUAACAUAUUAUAUUUAUAUAAUUUAGUUUUAAUUUAAUUUAUAUUUUUAAUAAAUUUGAAAUUAAAUAUUGGAAUAGCACUAUUCCAUCAAAAUAAAUUCCUUACUAUUCCGGAAUAGUCGGGAAUAACAAAAUUUGACUAGAAUAAAAUAUUCCGGCAAAAAAUUAUUUCGUUUGGCGGAAUAGCGGAGAUAACAUUCGUUAUUUCCGCUUAUACCGCCAACCAAACGGGGCCUA